rnacentral:lncRNA from 1 species
GAAAGAUGUAAAAGGAACGCUUCCAGUAGAUGACGGUGUACCCUCUAACGAGAAUGGUAUCACACUAUCUGUAAGAGUUACCCGUGGCUAAGUGAUAUCGCAAGUAUAGAUAUUUGUUAGGAUCACUAUGGUUGGUACAGUCGUGAUCAUAUAUCGUAUCAUAGUUUGGCCAGCCGGAAAUGGGUCUAAGCAAAUUGUCGUAUCUGUAUCUAAUAUGAUCAUCACACAUGGGUAGUUAGAAAUCUGUAUCUGCUCUCAGAGAUG